GUUUGAAGUCAGUUUGUGAUUCCUGCCCUCUGUGGCUCUACUAAGUUUCCUGCAGAAGUCAAGCCUGUUUGCAAGGAGCCCAAGGCAAUAAGAUCCUCCAGAGGCUGGACGCCAAUAGCCUCCCCCAGCCUGGAGGAAAGAGCCCGGCCUUGGAGACAGAUUGACCCUGGUUCAAAGCCUGCAGCUGUGAGAUCAUGGAAAAGUCACAUCAUGAGGUUGCUAAGGGAGUGAUGGGGCCCAUUUGGGCUCGCCCUCUUCUCAAGGUGGACCUGCCAGUGCCAAAUGCAUACCAUUGAUUUUUGUCUUCUUCCACCUCAGCUUCAAGGAUGCAGUCUUCUGGAAAGUGAGUGAGGGGUAGAGGUCUUUCCAGGCUGGAAGAAGAAGAAUCAGUCAAAUCCUUCGAAGCAGACUUGCUGGUUUGAAGCUCUAGAUCAAGCAUGUAAAACUCAAAGGCUAACAAGCCAAAUAAACAAGGUUUAAAUUUG